GAGCUUCCCGGCUGCUUUGUUUACCUAAGCAAGCCUGGGCAAUGGCGGGCGCCCCUCCCCCAGCCUCGCUGCCGCCUUGCAGUUUGAUCUCAGACUGCUGUGCUAGCAAUCAGCGAGACUCCGUGGGCGUAGGACCCUCCGAGCCAGGUGCAGGAUGUAAUCUCCUGGUGCGCGGUUUUUUUAAGCCCGUCGGAAAAGCGCAGUAUUCGGGUGGGAGUGACCCGAUUUUCCAGGUGCCCUCUGUCACCCCUUUGACUAGGAAAGGGAACUCCCUGACCCCUUGUGCUUCCCGAGUGAGGCAAUGCCUCGCCCUGCCUCGGCUCACGCACAGUGCGUGCACCCACUGACCUGCACCCACCCACUGACCUGCACCCACUGUCUGGCAGUCCCUAGUGAGAUGAACCCGGUACCUCAGAUGGAAAUGCAGAAAUCACCCAUCUUCUGCGUUACUCACGCUGGGAGCUGUAGACCGGAGCUGUUCCUAUUCGGCCAUCUUGGCUCCUCCUCCCAGAAACAAGUUCUUGAUGUGUUGCCCAAGGUGGACUCAAACUCCUCUGCUCAAGAGAUCCUCCCACCUCAGACUCCUGAGUAGCAAGGACUCCAGGCAUGUGCCGGUAAAUGUUAGUAAGUUACAUUUUCCUAGCAAUUUUCCAUUUCACUUGUUUUUAAAAUUAAUACAUAUUUUAUACAAUUUAUUUUUUAACUUCAUUGCAGCAAAGUCAUUAAUGUUAUUUAUUUUUUAUUGACAAAAAUUAUUUAUAUUUAUGUCGUACAACAUGAUGUUUUUGAUAUAUAUAUAUAUACACUUUAGUUUUUAAAUGUGUGAAUAAGGUUCUUCAUAACUCCAUCAUAACAAUGUUUGUAUUUCUUACAAUUAUAAUGUUUAAAUUCAUAUUCCUACGGGAUUAUAAACUUCUUUAGGCCAGGCACUAGAUAAAUUCUGUAUAUGCCUUAGAACUUAGCACAUGGUAGUCACUCAUGUACAAAUUAUUGAGUGUGCAAAUGUAUGAAUGAAUGAAUGAAUGUCCACUUAAAGAAAACAAUAUGAAGCUCUUUUUUUAAUCUUCAGCUCAUAAGUUGUUUUGGUACACUUUUGUCCUUCUCUUAUUUACUACUUCUUAUUACAAUGCAGAAGUUAAAGCAUGUAAUUUAGGAGAACUUUGCUGCAUUUAAAGGAUAAUUCAAACUCAUUUUAGAAAAUCAUUUUAUUACAUUAUGUAAUAUUUUAUAUUUUUAAUAACUUGAUAUCCGAAAACCAAAUUUCGCUGCAACAUGUUCAGAAAGUUUUCUUCCUUUUUGGAAAUUGAACCUUUCUAACCAAGUAACAGUUGCUAAGGGAUUUGGAAUAGAGAUUAGCAUAGAUUUGGGUGGCACAAGUGAUCCUUUGUGCACGGUUAACAGUCUAUUUUUCAUUUAUAAAAUUAAUAUCCGUGUCUGUGAUUCCCACUAAUACUAGUUUGAAAAUAAGCUAAAGAUAAUCCUCUUCUCUUUAAUUUCCAUGGGGCCAGCACCACUUGAUCUGAUUAUGUAAUGUCAAAAAACUCAAGUUUUACUGGCAGAGUGCAUAUCGUGCCUCUGUUCUAGUGCUAACAAGAGCCUUCAGCAAUUAAUUAAACUUCUAUCUCUUCAAGGAGAUUCACAACAUACACUCAGGGACAGGCAGUCCAAGAAAUCUGAAUGUAGAAACAUUUUAAUUUUGUUGCCUCUGAAGUUUGGAAAUUAUUCAGAUUUAUUUCUUUCACAAAAAAAGUCCAUCAUUUUGUCUUACUGGUCCAUGUGCUUCCCACCAAUCUUCCUCACUUUAGAUCCUUAUCCUCUUUUCCAAGGGUAGCAUUUCCACUACCCCCAUUUUCACUGGCUACGUACCUAUUGAACCAAGGCUCAGGCUCAGAUCUAGCAGUAGGGAGAGUUACCCAGCUGUGGCCACUCCAGGUCUCACAGACAAGGAAGCCAGGUGUGGGCAAAGUCAUGUGGACAGCCAUCAGUCCUCUGCAGGACCUCAUUCCUAGGACUCAGUGAGUACCUCCAAGUGUUUUGGGGAUUUCCAGGCUCAUCAUGAAUCUCCAAAUAACUCCAUUUAACCAACAAGAUUUUUAUCUCUAGAUAUGCUCCUCAAAGGCAGUUUUAUCAUAGCCACAAAAGACAAUAAUGUGAGCCAUGGAACUUCCUCAGGUCCACCAAGAGAUGACAGAGCUGUUCCAAGAUGCAGAGUGAGAACUAAGAACCAGCAAAACAAACAUACCAAAAACACUACUCAAAAAUGAAUCGUUAGUUAGACGGUUGCUAAUAUUUCACUUGAAUACAUAACUGUGUGAGAGAAACAACCUUAAAUAUUAAAAUACUAGAUCUUUGCAAACUUUGUGAUUAAUUAAUUCAGCAAUAUUUAUGGAACAUCUGCUAUACAGUUGGCAUCCUACUAGUUCUUGGGAAGAGUACAAAAAUCAUGUCUCUGUGGAGUUUAUAAUCCACUGAGAAUGGUACAAUAUAUCCUAUAAUUAUAUUUAAAAACAUAAUCCUAAUUACUUUGAAUUCUACCACUUAUCCUCGUGUCAAAAGAGCAAUUGUGCACAUAUGCUUCUAUAUUCUUCACAGCUCCUCGAUUUCUAACUGUCUUCCAGGGGGAAAAACAUGUUAAUUUCUCUUAAAAGAAACCAUAAGCCACUGGAGUACAAUGACACACAGUAAUACAGGAGAUCAACUUGAAGGAGAACCGCUUAAGUUGUGUAGGGUAAGGAGUAAGCCAGCGAUUCUCGAACUUGGCUGAGGGCUGGCUACCUAAUUUGUGGGGCCAGUGCAAAAUAAAAUGUAGGGCCCCUUGUUCAAACACAGGGAAAAAAAAGUGUAAUUAAAGUGUGAAAUUUUCUUUUCUUUCUUCCACAUUCUCUCUCUUGACUAGUAAUGGUGUUUUUUAUUUUCUAUUGUCAUGUGGCACCUUGGCAUUCUGAGUACUUUGAUCUGAAGGACAUUGGAAAGGCCUCACAGCCAAGGUCUCUUUGAGCUUUGCCUACCCUCCUGUCUCCUGACCCUCUUUCCCCUCUAAAGGGAGCCAUAGAAACCGGAAUUCCUCUUCCCCAGGGUGAUCCAUGGAAACUGGAAUUCCUCUCACCCAAAGCAUGCCAUAAAACCUAAAAAGGUCACCUCCUCCCUUCUCCCUUGAAUACCCUCAUUCCAGAGCGAUCUUGUCCUAUACCCAGGUAGAAGGUGUAGAAGCAGAACAGUAGUGAUCUCCUUCCUCCCUAUCAUAAAGGUCAUGGCCCAACCUUCUAUAACAAAGAUUAAUGAGGAAAACAUAACAAAUUUAUUUGAUCAUUGUUUUAUGAAACACAGGAGCCUUCAAAGUGAAGACCCAAAGAUACAGGGAAAACUAUCCAUUUUUAUGCUUAGGUUCAACAAAGAAUGGACAGCCAUGUAGAAAUGUGACUGGACAAAAAGGUUAUGAUCUGUAUGCCAGUAGACUGCGUGGGGAAACCACUGAGGCCUGUCCUUAUUCCUGUUGACUUUGGGCAGCAUUUCUUCCUCCCGGUUAUAGGGUAGGAUACCUCUGGAAUGAGGGUCUUAAUUUCUUUAUGACCAGUUGUUACACAGAAAAGCAUGGGUAGGGAAGGGGUAGAGUAACAUUUUUCAACUUUAUGGCUGGCUUUGGAAAAAAAGGGUUCCAUUUUCUAUGGCCUGCCUUAGGGGAAAAUGGAGCCAAGAGACAGGAGGGCAAGAGAAGGUAAGAGAAAAACUUCUGCUUCUGAGGCUGCUUCCUAGAACUUGACUUUGGAGUAUUGUUUUCUGAGUCCAAACAGAGGAAUGCUACAUAGACAGGACAAAAAGAAUCUGAGCAGACAGGCCUUGCUGGACUUCCCUGUCGGUCUAUUACCAUGAGAUCAGACCCUUUUGUCCAAUCUCUUUCUACAUGGCUGUCCAUUCUUCACCAAACCUAAACAUAAAAUUAGAUGGUUUUUCCUAAGUCUUUGGGUCUUCCUUUCUGAAACUUCUCACGGCAUGUAAAAUUUUCAUUCAAUAAAUUUGUUAUGCUUUC